rnacentral:rRNA from 1 species
GCCCUGGCGGAAUGCUUACACCUGCAAUGUCGAACGGCAGACACGUGACUUCGGUCUGGUGGCGAUGUGGCGAACGGGUGAGUAAUUGCAUCCGAACGUGCCCAACCUCGUGGUGCGGAUAACGUAUGCGAAAGUUACGCUAAUACCUGACCUACAGUAUCUAACGCGAUAGAAGAGCGUGCGGAUCGCAUAGACCUCGCGCGCAAUGGAGCGAGCCGACUGCUUCAGAUCUACUGUAGUUAGGUGGGUGUAAAUGGCUCACCAAGCCAGAGCGAUCUAUAGCUAGGUCUGACAGGAUGAUCAGCCACACUGGGACUGAGACACCGCCCAGACUCCUACGGGAGGCAGCCAAGUGGGGAAUUUUGGACGAAUGGGCGCACAGCCUGAUCCAUCCAUUCCGCGCUGCAUGGAUGAAUGGCCCUCGUGGCUUGUUAAAUCUGGCUCUUCUGUACAGCAAGCGAAAAGAGACUCGUGAGGUUAAUAGCCCUCGUGGGUCAAUGACGGUACUGUAAGAAUAAGCACCGGCUAACUACGUGCCACUCAGCCGCGGUAAUACGUAGGGUGCAAGCGUUAAUUCGGAAUUACUGGGCGUAAAGCGUGCGCAGGCGGUGAUGUAAGACAGAGGUGAAAUCCCCGGGCUC